GCUCGUUUUUAUUGUAAUUGUAUAUGCUUCCUUAAAGGGGGGAGAAAAACAAUAAAAGAUGGUUGACUCCUUCGGGAGCCAACCACUUGGCUUUGCAACUGCGGCCAUACAAGUAAAAAAAAAGAGAGAAUUGGAAAUUCUCUCCCUUUAUCACCUGGCCCGGCUGAGUAACGGCCUGACUCAAAUCACGGCCAAAACAAUGGACACCUAUGGCAAAAUAAAAGCUACCCUGGAGGCAAACAAAUUUGCCUUUUUUACUCACCAGCCCAGAUGGGAACGAGGUGCUAGACGUGCGACCCUUGAGACCGCAGUGCCAAACUUUGUCAAACGCUUCUGUAAUAUCGAUGAAUAUAGGCGAUCCAUACAGUUUGUCCUCAAAAGCUCUCUGGAGGAAUUGUGUAACGCGAGCUAGUUGAUGCUCGGCCCCAUGAAAUUUGCAUUUGUAUGGAUUGUGAAAGACGGUUACAUUUAAGGACCCUCUUGGCAAGCAAGGAUUCAAGUAUUUUUGUUUUGUUUGCCUAUGACAAAAAAAAACAACACAUGUUACUCACUUCUUGCCUAUAAGAGGGAAUUUUCCUGACAAUAAGAGCGCUGCCUCAAUGAUUUUGCCAACUGCAAUGACGCCAUGAAUCGAUAUGAUUCGAACUGAUAACCUGCAAGAAACAAUUAUACUAAUCACUAUUAAUGAACAAUAUUUGUAAAUACUAUAUUCUUUAUAAUUAUUGCAGCUUGCAACUUGUUCUUGAUCCUCUAGUUGUUUUUACGGUCCUUGGUAAAACCCAGUAAGCAUUUAUUUACUUGCAUGUAAAAAAUUUCCCAUGUAAAUUUCCCACAAUUUUUUUUUUGUCCUACCAGUAACACCCAACAAACAUUAUGUCUUAUAUAUUAAUCAUUCACACUAUUAAUAAGCCAUUGUAAAUUAUUUCUAAGCUCGUUUUUAUUGUAAUUGUAUAUGCUUCCUUAAAGGGGGGAGAAAAACAAUAAAAGAUGGUUGACUCCUUCGGGAGCCAACCACUUGGCUUUGCAACUGCGGCCAUACAAGUAAAAAAAAAGAGAGAAUUGGAAAUUCUCUCCCUUUAUCACCUGGCCCGGCUGAGUAACGGCCUGACUCAAAUCACGGCCAAAACAAUGGACACCUAUGGCAAAAUAAAAGCUACCCUGGAGGCAAACAAAUUUGCCUUUUUUACUCACCAGCCCAGAUGGGAACGAGGUGCUAGACGUGCGACCCUUGAGACCGCAGUGCCAAACUUUGUCAAACGCUUCUGUAAUAUCGAUGAAUAUAGGCGAUCCAUACAGUUUGUCCUCAAAAGCUCUCUGGAGGAAUUGUGUAACGCGAGCUAGUUGAUGCUCGGCCCCAUGAAAUUUGCAUUUGUAUGGAUUGUGAAAGACGGUUACAUUUAAGGACCCUCUUGGCAAGCAAGGAUUCAAGUAUUUUUGUUUUGUUUGCCUAUGACAAAAAAAAACAACACAUGUUACUCACUUCUUGCCUAUAAGAGGGAAUUUUCCUGACAAUAAGAGCGCUGCCUCAAUGAUUUUGCCAACUGCAAUGACGCCAUGAAUCGAUAUGAUUCGAACUGAUAACCUGCAAGAAACAAUUAUACUAAUCACUAUUAAUGAACAAUAUUUGUAAAUACUAUAUUCUUUAUAAUUAUUGCAGCUUGCAACUUGUUCUUGAUCCUCUAGUUGUUUUUACGGUCCUUGGUAAAACCCAGUAAGCAUUUAUUUACUUGCAUGUAAAAAAUUUCCCAUGUAAAUUUCCCACAAUUUUUUUUUUGUCCUACCAGUAACACCCAACAAACAUUAUGUCUUAUAUAUUAAUCAUUCACACUAUUAAUAAGCCAUUGUAAAUUA